rnacentral:lncRNA from 1 species
AUGGCAGCUGCACGCAGGGCACUGGGGCUGGAAAGGAAGCAGUGGGGCAAAGGGGAUUGCAUGGGGAUCUUGGGGCCUUCCAGAGAACAGUCCCGUAGGGGACUGCCCAUGGCCAGCUUUGCAGCACGGCUUCUUCAGAAAUGCCACCAGAGGAAGGAAGGGACAGCCUGGUGGCCAUCUGGGUUUGUGCUCGGGAUGGGAUUUCUUUCACCCAGCAAAAAUCUGGGGAAAGGCCCUCACAGUGCAUGGAAAGGGCUGCCCAGAGCCCAGGGAGGAUGUGGAGCCGGGGGUGUCUCCAGGAGCCCGGGCACCCUGAAUGCCCAGGGCAGAGAUACGGGGGUACAGCCUCACCCACAGCUCCGGGAAACCCAAAGUAUCACAGGGCUCCAGCGCGAUGCCACUUCACAUCAUCCCCACACCUCUAUGGGGUGGAAGCGCAGUUCUGGGUGCGGCAGAAGCGAUGCGGGACCGGACCGGGAGAUGCUGAGGGACCGCGCCGGGGGGACCAGACCGGGGAUGCCCGGGGCAGGGAAGGGCCGCACCGCGGGUGAGGGGACCGAGCGGGCCGGGGGCGCUGGGAGUGGCGUGUCCGGAGCCGCCCCCACGUGCCGCCCGCCCCGCCCCAGUCCCGCCCCGGUGCCGCCGGCGGAGGCAGCGCGGAUCGGCCCAGCAUGGAGGGGACGCGGCGCGCCCUGCUCCGCCUCGCCGCCGCCUGCUGCCUGCUCUGCGCCCUGCCAGGUACCAACGGGAGCCGGGAGGGGUGGGGGGUCCCGCCGCUCUCGCAGCACCGGAGCCGGAGCGGCAGCUCGUACCCGGGGAUGGGAACCGCGGGCCCCGAAAGUUGCGCGGAGCAGCGCGCUGCGGGGAUGCUGCGGGACAAAGCGGCGGGACAAAGCGGCAGCACCGAGUCCCGGCGGCUGCUCCCGGGCCGUUGCUCCGCGGCUCCACGUGGAUCGCGGCGGCCACGCGGUGGGAGCGCGGCUCGAGCUGGGGGUGGGGGCAUCGCCGGCGGUGCCGGUAAAGCGGGGCAGCCACAAAGCGCCGGGCUCGGCGGGAAGCGGGAGCGCUCCCAUGCUCGGCUGCCGGGAAAACAAGAAACGGAAUAAAGCCAAAAGCUCCCGGCCAGACCCCUGGGGGCGGGGGGUCACAGCACGGCGAGGGCAGCGCUGGGGACGAGGACGCGAAAGCAACUUUGUCUCCGGUAACCGCCCGUGGGGCUGCGGCACGAACCCGUCGGUGCUGCGGCUCUGA